rnacentral:pre_miRNA from 1 species
GGGGGAGGACCGGAUCUUGGGCUGUGUACCCCAGCACCCUGAGCCUUGGGCCUGUGCAGCUGGAAUCGCGCUCCUGGGGCGAUGCAGCCCCCU